rnacentral:rRNA from 1 species
AGAGUUUGAUCAUGGCUCAGGACGAACGCUGGCGGCGUGCUUAACACAUGCAAGUGGAGCGACGAACCAGGGCUUGCCCUGGGGCAGAGCCGCGAACGGGUGAGUAACACGUGGGUAACCUGCCCCGAUGACUGGGACAACCCGAGGAAACUCGGGCUAAUACCGGAUGUGCUCCCUCACAUCAGUGAGACGAGUAAAGGAAGCUUCGGCCUCCGCAUUGGGAUGGGCCCGCGGCGCAUUAGCUUGUUGGUGGGGUAACGGCCUACCAAGGCAACGAUGCGUAGCUGGUCUGAGAGGACGAUCAGCCACACUGGGACUGAGACACGGCCCAGACUCCUACGGGAGGCAGCAGUGGGGAAUCUUGCGCAAUGCGCGAAAGCGUGACGCAGCAACGCCGCGUGAGGGAAGACGGCCUUCGGGUUGUAAACCUCUUUCAGUUGGGACGAAAGGUCGGGCGGUUAAUAGCCGUUCCCGACUGACGGUACCUUCACAAGAAGCCCCCGGCUAACUACGUGCCAGCAGCCCGCGGUAAUACGUAGGGGGCAAGCGUUGUCCGGAAUCAUUGGGCGUAAAGAGCGUGUAGGCGGCUUGGUAAGUCGGCUGUGAAAGUCGGGGGCUCAACCCUCGAAUGCCGGCCGAUACUGUCAAGCUAGAGUCCGGAAGAGGCGAGUGGAAUUCCUGGUGUAGCGGUGAAAUGCGCAGAUAUCAGGAGGAACACCAAUGGCGAAGGCAGCUCGCUGGGAUGGUACUGACGCUGAGACGCGAAAGCGUGGGGAGCAAACAGGAUUAGAUACCCUAGUAGUCC